AUUGAACGCUGGCGGCAUGCUUUACACAUGCAAGUCGAACGGUAACAGGCCUUCGGGUGCUGACGAGUGGCGCACGGGUGCGUAAUGCAUCGGAACGUACCCAGAGGUGGGGGAUAACGCAGCGAAAGCUGUGCUAAUACCGCAUGUGAUCUGAGGAUGAAAGCGGGGGACCGCGCAGCAAUGUUUGGCCUCGCGCCUUUGGAGCGGCCGAUGUCGGAUUAGCUAGUUGGUGGGGUAAAGGCCUACCAAGGCGACGAUCCGUAGCUGGUCUGAGAGGACGACCAGCCACACUGGGACUGAGACACGGCCCAGACUCCUACGGGAGGCAGCAGUGGGGAAUUUUGGACAUUGGGCGCAAGCCUGAUCCAGCAAUGCCGCGUGCGGGAAGAAGGCCUUCGGGUUGUAAACCGCUUUUGGCAGGAACGAAACGGUGUCCGCUAAUACCGGGCGCUAAUGACGGUACCUGCAGAAUAAGCACCGGCUAACUACGUG
rnacentral:rRNA from 1 species